rnacentral:rRNA from 1 species
CCUACGGGAGGCAGCAGUAAGGAAUAUUGGACAAUGGUCGCAAGACUGAUCCAGCCAUGCCGCGUGCAGGAUGACAGCCCUAUGGGUCGUAAACUGCUUUUGUGCGAGAAAAAACCCCUCUACGUGUAGAGGGCUGAUUGUAUCGUAAGAAUAAGGAUCGGCUAACUCCGUGCCAGCAGCCGCGGUAAUACGGAGGAUCCAAGCGUUAUCCGGAUUCAUUGGGUUUAAAGGGUGCGUAGGCGGAAUGAUAAGUCAGUGGUGAAAGCCUGCAGCUUAACUGCAGAACUGCCAUUGAUACUGUCAUUCUUGAGUACAUUUGAUGUGGGCGGAAUGUGUCAUGUAGCGGUGAAAUGCUUAGAUAUGACACAGAACACCGAUUGCGAAGGCAGCUCACAAAACUGUAAACUGACGCUGAGGUACGAAAGCGUGGGUAUCAAACAGGAUUAGAUACCCUGGUAGUCCACGCUGUAAACUAUGAUUACUCGAUGUUUGCGAUACACUGUAAGCGUCCAAGCGAAAGCGUUAAGUAAUCCACCUGGGAGUACGCUCGCAAGAGUAGAAACUUACAAANAGAGUUAGAGGCGNGAGAGNGCGACGGAGACGACGACGGGAGGUUAGG